AGAGUUUGAUCAUGGCUCAGAACGAACGCUGGCGGCGUGCUUAACACAUGCAAGUCGAACGCGAAAGGGACUUCGGUCCCGAGUAGAGUGGCGCACGGGUGAGUAACGCGUAAGUAAUCUACCCCUGUAUCUGGAAUAACCCACCGAAAGGUGAGCUAAUACCGGAUACGUUUAUCUUGAUGCGAAUGAUGAUAAAGAAAGGUGGCCUCUUCAUGAAAGCUACCGUACAGGGACGAGCUUGCGUACCAUUAGCUGGUAGGUAGGGUAAUGGCCUACCGAGGCGACGAUGGUUAGCGGGUCUGAGAGGAUGAUCCGCCACACUGGAACUGAAACACGGACCAGACUCCUACGGGAGGCAGCAGUGAGGAAUAUUGCGCAAUGGGGGCAACCCUGACGCAGCGACGCCGCGUGGACGAUGAAGGCCCUUGGGUCGUAAAAUCCUGUCAGAUGGAAAGAAAUGUACAGGUGUUAAUAUCGCCUGUAUUUGACGGUACCAUCAAAGGAAGCACCGGCUAACUCCGUGCCAGCAGCCGCGGUAAUACGGAGGGUGCGAGCGUUGUUCGGAAUUACUGGACGUAA
rnacentral:rRNA from 1 species